GACAUCCAGAGAAUUUAGCAGAGAUGCUUUAGUGCCUUCGGGAACUCUGAGACAGGUGCUGCAUGGCUGUCGUCAGCUCGUGUUGUGAAAUGUUGGGUUAAGUCCGCAACGAGCGCAACCCUUAUCCUUUGUUGCCAGCGCGUAAUGGUGGGAACUCAAAGGAGACUGCCGGUGAUAAACCGGAGGAAGGUGGGGAUGACGUCAAGUCAUCAUGGCCCUUACGAGUAGGGCUACACACGUGCUACAAUGGCGUAUACAAAGAGAAGCGACCUCGCGAGAGCAAGCGGACCUCAUAAAGUGCGUCGUAGUCCGGAUUGGAGUCUGCAACUCGACUCCAUGAAGUCGGAAUCGCUAGUAAUCGUAAAUCAGAAUGUUACGGUGAAUACGUUCCCGGGCCUUGUACACACCGCCCGUCACACCAUGGGAGUGGGUUGCAAAAGAAGUAGAUAGCUUAACCUUCGGGAGGGCGUUUACCACUUUGUGAUUCAUGACUGGGGUGAAGUCGUAACAAGGUAAGCGUAGUGCU
rnacentral:rRNA from 1 species